UCACGUCUUGUUCCCUCUUCUCCACUACGCAAUACUGGUUCAUCUAAAGAUCUCAUGGAAGCUGCAGAAAUUACAAUUGGGGAGCUUCGAGCAGAAGCUAGGAUGUGGGAGCAAAACGCUCGAAAGUUGAUGAUUGAUUUGGAAAAUUCUCAGAAGGAAUUUCUUGACCUUUCCAAACAUCAAAAAAGUCUUGAGGCAGCACUUUCAGCAUCACGGGCAGAAUGUGAUUGCUUGAAGCAGGAGAUCAAAGAAGUAAAGAUCUUGUUGGAGGAGUCACAGAUGAAACAGGCUGCUGCAAACAAUUUGAAGUUUCAGACUAAAAAUAAUGGCAAUGUUCAAAAGGAGCUGGAAGAGGAGAUAAGGUUUCAGAGAGAGGAAAAUGCUAAUUUGGCCUUACAGUUGAAGAAAACCCAAGAAUCAAAUAUUGAGCUUGUUUCCAUUCUUCAAGAGCUGGAAGAAACUAUAGAAAAGCAGAAAGUGGAAAUUGAUAACCUUUCAGCUGCUAAACAGACCAGAAAGUCUUCUGAUUCUGAUGGGGAAAGUGAU
rnacentral:lncRNA from 1 species